GAUAGGAUGAGGGGAGAGAGGAUGCAGGUCAUUAACCCAGACGAGGCCGUGUUGGUGGUAGGAGAGGAGGCCGUGCCGGUGGGAGAGGAGGUCGAGAUGGUGGACGAUUAGUUGAUGAGCCGGUUGAUGAUGUUGAUCAUGCUGAUGAGCAUGAGGACACUGCGGUUUAGGAGGGGAACUCAUGUAGAUACAAGCGAGGAUUGUGUAGUACUGCUAUUGCCGAGCAAUCUACUGCCACUAUAGCCGAGCCAUCUAUUGCUGCUGCUGCCGGGUCUUCUAUUGCUGCUAGCGACGAGGCUGAGUUCAUUAGACGUGAGGAUUGGCCUUCCUGCUCUCUAGGCCUCACUCCUACUCCAUAGCCAGUUGCUGAGCAACAGACUUUUCAUAUUCCGGAUACCAAUAUACAACAGCCUCCUCCUAUUAUACAGCAUCAUCACCGGACUCGACUUCAGCAUGAUAUAUCAGAGAUCUCCUCUUUUGACUUGGGCUUCUCUUUACAGUCUUCUCAACCUGAUACACAGACUAGUUCAGAUAGAGCUGAUAUGUCUGGUAGAUAUGAAAUAUAUGUGCGCCGGUUAAAAAGGCAGCGACAGGCUCCCGAUUGUGGUAUUGGUGGACAUAAAUGAGGGUAUGUAUUGAAUCACUAGGCUUUUCUGUUUGAGUUGUGUAGUUAAGUUUCUUGCUUGUGUAGUGUUUAUAUAAACCAAUCUAAUUAUUUCAUAUUCAUUAUCGUUUGACAGGGUAUCAGCUAUUGGAGCUAUAGAGCUGGAGUUUUAUUAGUUUUUAUUGUAUAUUGUAGGCUUUUCAUAACAUCUGUAGGGAUAGGACCCUGAACUUGUAAAUUCUCAUUGCGCGGAUCUUGUAAUUAUUUUAAUUUCGUGUCUAUAUUUAUGUUUUAGUACAACGUUAGAGUUUAAAUUAUUAAAUUGACUGACAGUUAGGGUUAAGAUUAAGGCCCUAAACCCUAGAGCCUAAACCUUAAUAAUU
rnacentral:lncRNA from 1 species